ACACACUCAAACACACACACACACACGGCAGGAGCCUCCAUAGACAAAGGUAACACACACACACACACACACACACACACCACACAUACACACACACACCCACACACACACGGCAGGAGCCUCCAUAGACAAAGCCACCAUGAAGCAGGUGGCGCGCACUGUGGCCAAGGUGGAGCUCUCGGACCAUGUGUGCGAUGUGGUGUUUGCACUGUUUGACUGCGAUGGCAACGGGGAGCUGAGCAAUAAGGAGUUCAUCGCCAUCAUGAAGCAGAGGCUGAUGCGCGGGCUGGAGAAACCCAAAGACAUGGGCUUCACGCGGCUGGUGCGCGCCAUGGUCAAGUGCGCCCAGGACACCGCCUGGGACUUCGCCACGCCCAAAGCACACUAGUGCCCAGGGAGGGAGGGAGGGGGAGAGAGGAUGAAAGAAGAAGAAGAGGAGGAGGAGGAGGAGGAGGAGGAGAUGAUGAUGGGCUAAGGGGGAGGACGGCGAGGAGGAGAAACCCGAAAGAGUGCCAAAGGCGUCCUGGCAUCAGCAAAGCCCUUCUCUCUCUCUCUCUCUCUCUCUCUCUCCCUCUGUCUAUCUCUCCUCCCAGAUAUAAAUAAAUCAUUCUGCUAAGGAACUCAUUAAGAUGCCACGCCUGAUAGGGCUGAUCAAUCAUGCACGCGUGCGUACCACAGCAGGGAACUCUGCCCAGCUCCAGCUCCAGCUCCUCCUCCUCCUCCUCCACCUCCUCCUCCUCCUCCUCCGCCCGCCAACACCCACCAGCGUGGCGCAGUGUGUCUGUGGGGGAACUGGAGAAAGGACAGCUAACGGGGGGGGGGGGGGGUUGUGCGUUGUGAUGAGUGAUGUGACUUUGCAGCAUUGGAAUGCUUGUAUUUAUCUCAGCUUAGGUGACUUCACUUUCCCGGUUAAACCUGGCCUACAAAACAUGGCGCCACAGAAACAUCAUUGUCUUUUAUCACUCCGUUUCGUGGGCUCAGAUGCCUGGAUAUUGUCCCUUAUUGUUUCCUUUACGUGAAUGGGCCCAUAGAGUCUUAUUCAACAGAGAUUAUUCAACCCUAUAUAUAUAUAUUCCCCUGCAGAUGUAUAUGUUAUAUGCCAUAAGACCUGUGACCGCGGGGCUGCUGUCGUCUUCUGUGUCUGCUCUGAUCUCAUUGGCUCCAGCUGUACACAUGGCACACACACACACACACACACACACACCUGCUCCAGCUGUACACCUGGCACACACCCACACCCACACCCACACACACACACACACACACACACACACACACACACCUGCUGCAGCCGUACACAUGGCCCUAUGAUGAUAUAGUCCUGCGAAUGUUUGUUAUGCCUGAAUGACUUUGUAGAGAUUCAUGUAAAAAGAAUGCUAAACUAAAAGAUGAUUUUUUUU
ensembl:lncRNA